rnacentral:rRNA from 1 species
GAUGUGAGGCUGUGGCUUAACCGUUGUACGCUUUGGAAACUGGUUUUUUUGAUGGAAAGAGGAAAGUGGAUUUCCUUGUGUAGCGGUGAAUUGCGUAAAUUUUUGGAAGAACACCAGUGGCGAAGGCGGCUCUCUGGUCUGCAACUGACGCUGAGGCUCGAAAGCAUGGGUAGCAAACAGGAUUAGAUACCCUGGUAGUCCAUGCCGUAAACGAUGAGUGCUAAGUGUUGGGGGGUUUCCGCCCUUCAGUGCUGCAGCUAACGCAUUAAGCACUCCGCCUGGGGAGUACGACCGCAAGGUUGAAACUCAAAGGAAUUGACGGGGACCCGCACAAGCGGGGGAGCAUGUGGUUUAAUUCAAAGCAACGCGAAAAACCUUACCAGGUCUUGACUUCCCGUGAACCGUUUAAAAAUAAGGCUUUUCCUUCGGGGAACAGUGGACAGGGGGGGCGUGGGUUUCUCCCCCUCUCGUGUCGAGAUAUUGGGUUAAAUCUCCCACCAAGAGCACACCUUUUGAUUUUUUUCCCCAAUUUUCUUGGGGACUCUCUAGGGAGUGUGCGGGAGAAACCGGAGGAGAGGGGGGAGAAGACCAAAAAUUCUCGCCCCCUUUACAUGGGGGUACAACCCCCCCCCU